CGGGUGAGCGGCGGACGGGUUAGUAACGCGUGGGAAAUUGUUUACUACGGAAUAGCCUCGGGAAACUGAGUGUAAUACCGCAUCCGCCCUUUGGGGGAAAGAUUUAUCGGUGAAGGAUUAGCCCGCGUCUGAUUAGAUAGUUGGUGGGGUAACGGCCUACCAAGUCGACGAUCAGUAGCUGGUUUGAGAGGAUGAUCAGCAACACUGGGACUGAGACACGGCCCAGACUCCUACGGGAGGCAGCAGUGGGGAAUCUUAGACAAUGGGCGCAAGCCUGAUCUAGCCAUGCCGCGUGAGUGACGAAGGCCUUAGGGUCGUAAAGCUCUUUCGCCAGGGAUGAUAAUGACAGUACCUGGUAAAGAAACCCCGGCUAACUCCGUGCCAGCAGCCGCGGUAAUACGGAGGGGGUUAGCGUUGUUGGGAAUUACUGGGCGUAAAGCGCGCGUACGCGGAUUGGAAAGUUGGGGGUGAAAUCCC
rnacentral:rRNA from 1 species